rnacentral:lncRNA from 1 species
AAUGUCUUGAGAAAUGAAUAGAGUCUUCAUUUGAAGGCUCCAAUAAUCAUAGUUUUCUCCAUCAAAAAUAGGGACAAGAUUUUUUGAAUAGUUGAAUAAAGAUGAUAAAGAUGAUUGUGUUGCCAUGGUGGUUUGUAAUGGAACACAAAGCUAAACCCGGGCUCUGAUACCAAAUUUGUUGGAGAAGGAGAGUAAUAUUUAAAAUGAGAAGAAAAGAGUUUAGGAAAUGUAGAGAAUUGGAAUGGAGAUAAAACUUUAUAUUGAANNNN